AACGAACGCUGGCGGCAUGCCUAACACAUGCAAGUCGAACGAGACCUUCGGGUCUAGUGGCGCACGGGUGCGUAACGCGUGGGAACCUGCCCUUAGGUUCGGAAUAACUCCCCGAAAGGGGUGCUAAUACCGGAUAAUGUCUUCGGACCAAAGAUUUAUCGCCUUUGGAUGGGCCCGCGUUGGAUUAGCUAGUUGGUAGGGUAAAAGCCUACCAAGGCGACGAUCCAUAGCUGGUCUGAGAGGAUGAUCAGCCACACUGGGACUGAGACACGGCCCAGACUCCUACGGGAGGCAGCAGUGGGGAAUAUUGGACACUGGGCGAAAGCCUGAUCCAGCAAUGCCGCGUGAGUGAUGAAGGCCUUAGGGUUGUAAAGCUCUUUUACCCGGGAUGAUAAUGACAGUACCGGGAGAAUAAGCUCCGGCGAACUCCGU
rnacentral:rRNA from 1 species